AUUUAAUACAAGCCUUCGACAUUAUAAUGUGCAAUGCACUCUCCAACAUAGCGAAUUUCAUCGGUUCGUUGACUGAAACAGAUAAUAUAAAUCUCAUGUUUAGAGAUAGUUUUUCAGCAUGUUUAUUACUUUAUCUUGAGUUGAAACUUUAAAAUUGUCAAAGAAAUGUUUCACCAAUGGAGGAAUGAACGUAGUAAUUGAUGACACCGUUGGGCCAUAAUAAAGUUUUAUCCUUCGUAACAGCUUUUCUCGAUUGCGACAAUUUAUGUAUAUCUCCUUCUCGUUGUUCACCUUCUUCGGGAUUAUCGUAUUGAGACCAUGUAUCAACUGUGUGUAAAAUGUUAUCAUUAAAAAGUAUGAUGUUUUUAGA